rnacentral:rRNA from 1 species
UACAGAGGGUGCAAGCGUUAAUCGGAAUUACUGGGCGUAAAGCGCGCGUAGGUGGUUCAGCAAGUUGGAUGUGAAAGCCCUGGGCUCAACCUGGGAACUGCAUCCAAAACUACUGAGCUAGAGUACGGUAGAGGGUAGUGGAAUUUCCUGUGUAGCGGUGAAAUGCGUAGAUAUAGGAAGGAACACCAGUGGCGAAGGCGGCUUCCUGGACCAACACUGACGCUGAGGCGCGAAAGCGUGGGGAGCAAACAGGAUUAGAUACCCCUGUAGU